rnacentral:rRNA from 1 species
UACGGAGGGUGCAAGCGUUAAUCGGAAUUACUGGGCGUAAAGCGUGCGCAGGCGGUUUGUUAAGUCUGCUGUGAAAUCCCCGAGCUCAACUUGGGAAUUGCAGUGGAUACUGGCAGGCUGGAGUAUGGUAGAGGAAGGUGGAAUUCCCGGUGUAGCAGUGAAAUGCGUAGAGAUCGGGAGGAACACCUGUGGCGAAAGCGGCUCACUGGACCACAACUGACGCUGAUGCGCGAAAGCUAGGGGAGCAAACAGG